CCUCAUCUCUCUAUUCUCGCUCUCUCUCUCUCCAACUGCAAUCUACAAAAAUCAUAAUAUCAAAACCCAUGUCGGCAAAAUCAUUUCAGCCUCCCUAAUCGCCACAUCUCUCUCUCUCCAAAUCCAACUGAAAUCUACAAAUUCUACAAAAAUCAGAAUAUCAAAACACAUAUCGGCAAAAUCAUUUCAGCCUCUCUAAUCGCCUCAUCUCUCUAUUCUCGUUCUCUCAUUCUCUCGUUCCUUCUUCGAGCAAUCAGCUUUUCAGUGCAGUGCUGGGAUUCGAAUUGGGUUUAAGAAAAUCAGUUCAAUUCUAACCUUUGUUUCUGAAUUCCAUUAGUUAAUGAAUCAUGCUUGAUCUAUGUUGAUGCAUGCAUGAAGGUAUUUUUUUUUUGUGGAUGAUGAUGAUGUUGCCGAGAGUUUUUUUGUUUCUAAAACUGUUUUCAAGUGUCAAUUUGAUGUGAAUUUGAUUAUUUGGGCAUUAAAUUGUUAUUGUUCUUGGGUUUUGAAUUCCUCUAUAUUGAUAGGGGUAUGGAGUUCUCUUGAUUGUGACUCUUUAUUUUCAUCUGCUAUUGAUUUAAUUGUUCAUAAAUUUGUGGUUUUUAUUUACGUUCUCAGGGUUGUGAUGCUUCAGUUCUAGAUGACAGCAAUGAUAAUAAGAGGUACUCCAUCGAAAAGAAUGCAAUUCCGAACCUAAAACUCAAGGGGUUUAAUUAUGUCAACAUGAUAAAGCAGGAGUUGGAAAAUGUUUGCCCAGGAGUGGUUUCUUGUUCUGAUACACUAAUUCUGGCCACCAGAGAUGGUCUUGUUAUGGUUUUAUUUAUUUAUUUUUUUCAUAAAGUUUUUCUGCAACUUCCGGCGACUUCAACCUCCCCCCCCCCCUCUCUCUCUCUCUCUGCAACUGUAAUCAAAACCCAUAUCCGGCUGUCUCUCAACUUUCUUGCCCCUUGGUGUAAUUUGCUCCCUUUCUCUCAAACGAGCCCUUAGAGAAUUCCCAUGCUGGGAUUCAAAUCCAACUACCUCCAUAAACGUUUAUAUUCAUCUUCAGCGUCUUAUGUAGUCAAGUACCUUAACUGUCGGAUCAACUUCUUCCUCUCCAACCAAUUCACUGACCUGCAAUCUCUCCUCCGAUCACACGCUUACAUUAUCACAACUGGUCACACAAAUAACAUUUUCAUAGCAUCAAAGCUCAUCUCUCUCUAUGCUUCUUUCAGUAAACCCAACUUGUCAACUCAAGUAUUUGAUUCAGUUUAUUUCAGAGAUACUUUCCUUUGGAACUCUGUAAUCAAAGCUUAUUUCUCCAAUGGAGAGUACCCACAAGCUCUUCAACUAUAUCUCCGAAUGCGGUUAUCUGAUACCCAACCUAACCAUUUCACCAUUCCAAUGGUUGCUGCAGCCUGUGCGGAGCUUUCAUCGUUAAAUUAUGGCAUGACCAUACAUGGGUUGGUUUCAAAACUUGGACUUGUUGCAGGAAAUUCAGCAAUUGGGUCUUCGUUUGUGUAUAUGUAUUCGAAGUGUGGUUGUAUGGAGGAUGCAUCUCUUGUGUUCGAUGAAAUUUUUGUAAGGGAUGUGGUUGCUUGGACAGCACUUGUAAUUGGGUAUGUGCAGAAUGACGAGAGUGAGAAGGGGUUAGAGUGUCUUUGUGAGAUGCACAAGGUUGGUGGGGAUAGUGAGAGGCCGAAUUUUAGAACAUUGGAAGGUGGGUUUCAAGCUUGUGGGAAUUUGGGGGCUUCGCUGGAAGGUAGGUGCUUACAUGGUUUAGCAGUAAAAAUUGGAAUUGGGUGUUCUCAUGCCAUUCAGUCUUCGCUAUUGUCAAUGUAUUCCAAGUGUGGUAACCAUGAGGAAGCUUAUCUUUCGUUUUGUGAUGUUUUCAACAAGGAUCUUAUCUCAUGGACAUCAAUCAUUGGUGUUUUUGCAAAAUUUGGGUUUCUCACCAAAUGUUUAGGCAUGUUUAUGGAAAUGCAGGCUGCUGGCAUAUAUCCGGAUGGAAUUGUUAUCAGUUGUGUAAUUUCGGGUUUUUGUAAUUCUAUGAGGAUCUCUGAAGGAAAAGCCUUCUAUGGUUUAAUCAUAAAGAAAAAUUAUGUAGUAGAUCAGAUGGUCCGUAAUGCAUUGUUGUCAAUGUACUGUAAGUUUGGACUUCUAGCUUUUGCCAAGAAGCUCUUUGAUAGAGUACACGAUCGGGACACAGAGUCUUGGAACAUAAUGGUGUCUGGUUAUGGUAAGAUCGGGCCAAGAGCCAAAUGUGUAGAAUUGUUUAGUGAAAUGCAACAUCUAGGCAUUGAAUCCGAUUCAAACAGUUUGGUAUCUGUGAUUUCUUCAUGUUCCCAAUUAGAAGCAUUCCAUCUAGGUCGAUGUCUUCAUUGCUAUGCGAUUAAAAGUCUUAUGUAUGAGAAUGUUUCAGUUGCCAAUUCACUCAUAGACAUGUAUGGUAAGAGUGGGAAAUUAACCAUUGCAUGGAAAAUAUUUUGUGGGACACAAAAGGAUACUGUCACGUGGAACACUUUGAUCUCUUCUUAUACUCAUAGUGGGCAUUCUGCCGAGGCUUUAGCCUUAUUUGAUGAAAUGGUUUUGAAAGGCUUCAAGCCUAAUUCAGCAACAUUGGUGACAGUGCUCUCUGGUUGUUCUCAUAUUGCAUCUCUGGAGAAAGGAGAACAGGUUCACAAUUACAUCAAGGAAGGGGGAUUUCAGUUUAAUUUAUCUCUUGAAACUGCAUUAGUUGAUAUGUAUGCAAAAUGCGGGCAGCUCAAAAAAGCAAGAGAAAUAUUUUACUCAAUGAUAGAAAAAGAUGUUAUUUCUUGGAAUGUGAUGAUCUCUGGUUAUGGAUUGCAUGGAGAUGCAGAAUCUGCGAUAGAGAUUUUCCAGCAGAUGUUGCAAUCAAAUGUUAGACCAAAUGAGCUCACCUUUCUUGCUGUUCUCUCAGCUUGUAUGCAUGUGGGGCUUGUUGAAGAAGGAAAGUGGCUGUUUGAUAGAAUGGGUGAUUUUUCUGUGAGACCCACAUUGAAGCACUACACUUGUAUGGUUGAUCUUCUUAGUCGGUCAGGUAAUCUGCAUGAGGCUGAAGCUUUGGUUCUCUCGAUGCCCAUGGACCCUGAUGGGGGUUUGUGGGGUGCUUUGUUAAGUGCUUGCAAAAUUCACCACAAUAGUGAGAUGGGAAUAAGGAUUGCGAAGCAUGCUAUUGCCUCCAACCCAGGAAAUGAUGGCUAUUAUAUAACGCUUUCCAACUUAUACACCUCUACAGGGAGGUGGGAGGAGGCAGAGCAUGUGAAAAUAAUCAUGAAGGAAAAAGGAGUGAGAAAGAGAGCUGGUUGGAGUGCAGUAUAAUUCAUAGGGAAUAGCCAUAUGCUCUUUGGUGUACGAAAGGUACCAACCUUGAUAUCAUAAAAUAUGCAAAAAAGUGCUAAACUCCAUGCUAUAGCCAAUGUGCAUAUCUGCAGAUGGUUUUGAUGCCUUCGGUGCCAUUAUCUCUGGGUCCUGAAAUUCACUACAAGUCUCCACUGGUAAAGAAAAUGCCAAACCAGCAGUUUCACUACCUUGGUUGCAGGAAAUCUUAUUCAUCAUGGAAUUCUGACCCUUAUUUUUUUUGCAUUAGCUCAGCAUUGAUAACAUUCUUGCUGAUGUAUGAUGUGGAGAAAGUUGUCCCCCUUGUUUUAGGUCAGAUUCCUACUGCAGUUCAAGCAGAUGUUUACUUUAAAUCCUGAUUGUUGAUUACACAUUAAUAAAAUGAUAAGAGUAACUGACCUUUUGCUGUCUGAACUCGAUUAGCGAGCACGGAAUGGAGGUUUGACAUUGUUGCAUGCUGUCUGAACAGGUGUAUGGUUCAAGCACUGUCACAUGGAAAGACAUACUACCUGGGGUAUGGGCACUGCUCUCAUUGUGAAGAAUGGCGACACUGCAGAGACAAGUAUGCGUGAGCCCUAUCCUUACAUGCCAUUGUGUACAGUGCCCCUAGCCUCCAAACUCCAGGCAUCAAAAUUUUCAGGAGAAAUAUGAGAAUAGAAGAGAGGUUUUGAAAAAUAUGAGCCUGAUUUAGCCUUUCUAAUUACAGCUUACAAGAGGGGGUUGCAUGUAUUCCUACCAUCACUUUGUAAUAAAAUGGGUAGGUUGUAA